AUUGAACGCUGGCGGCAGGCCUAACACCUGCAAGUCGAACGAGUGGCGGACGGGUGAGUAAUGUCUGGGAAACUCCCUGAUGUAGGGGGUUAACUACUGGAACCGGUAGCUAAUACCGCAUACCAUCAGAUGUGCCCAGAUGGGAUUAGCUUGUUGGUGGGGUAUCGUCGCACCAAGGCGACGAUCCCUAGCUGGUCUGAGAGGAUGACCAGCCACACUGGAACUGAGACACGGUCCAGACGCCGACGGGAGGCAGCAGUGGGGAAUAUUGCACAAUGGGCGCAAGCCUGAGGCAGCCAUGCCGCGUGUAUGAAGAAGGCCUUCGGGUUGUAAAGUACUUUCAGCGGGGAGGCGUUACCCGCAGAAGAAGCAACGGCUAACUAAGUGCCAGCCGCCGCGGUAAUAC
rnacentral:rRNA from 1 species